GGUCCCUGCCCUCUAGAAGCUCACAGUCUAGUUGUGUUCAAGUUCAAGUCAUCUACCCCCAGCUAGAUUGUAAGCUCCUUGAGGGCAGUUACC
rnacentral:pre_miRNA from 1 species